rnacentral:misc_RNA from 1 species
GAAAUGCGAUAAGUAAUGCGAAUUGCAGAAUUCAGUGAAUCAUCGAAUCUUUGAACGCACAUUGCGCCCGCCAGCACUCUGGCGGGCAUGCCUGUUCGAGCGUCAUUUCAACCAUCAAGCCCCCGGGCUUGUGUUGGGGACCUGCGGCUGCCCGCAGGCCCUGAAAACCAGUGGCGGGCUCGCUGUCACACCGAGCGUAGUAGCAAUCACCUCGCUCAGGGCGUGCUGCGGGUUCCGGCCGUUAAACAGCCUUACAAAACCCAAGGUUGACCUCGGAUCAGGUAGGAAGACCCGCUGAACUUAAGC